UUCGAAUUUAAAAUUUAAAAGUUAAAAUUUAAAGAUUCAAAAAUGAAUCUAAAAAUUAAAAUUUACAAAUAAAUUUAAAUUUAAAUAUUGAAUUUAAAAUUAAAAUAAAAAUUUGAUGUUUGGUCCAAAAUCAGAAUCAGAUUUUAAGAAGUUACUUUUUUCUGCUUCUAAUUUUUGGGUCUUCAAAAUCAAUUUUCUGAUUCUAAAAAAUAGAAUCAGAUUUUAAAAAUGAGGUUGCCUAACGCUUUAUGAAGCCGAAAAUCACUUUUUAAUCCAAAAGCGCUUUUUAAAAGCUAGGCCAAAUACCUCCUUAGUACGUGGCGCGACGCCACGUCGGUCUUUGUCGAUGGCCAAAAUAGUGCAACAGCUCAGCACGCGUCAACUAAUCAGGAGUACUGCUAGAGUGGGAAGGAGAAAGGAAUUGAUGUGGCUAGGAGCGAGGUGCGCGACCAGAAAAAUUUUAGAAUAUAUGUAUUAGUUAUAUUGUUAAUAUAGGAUCAUCAAUUAAUUAUAUUAUUUUUUUAAAUUAAUUCAUCACAUCAUAGUUAUUAAAAAAAUUUUUAUUAUUAUUUUUUCUAUAAAGAAGAGAUAUGAUUGGCUUUUAAUAGUUGACAUAGUGUUACUGAUUGAUAUAUAGUAGAAUCUCUCCCCGACUAGGCUACAAAGAUGACUCGGAUGAAACUGAUUAAUGAAAGUGGAGCAAAAACCGCGAUGCAUCUUGUCAGUUUCAUGCAUACAUUAUUUUCAUAUAUAUUGGCGACAUAUCAAUAUUUAGAUACCGUUUGAUUGGAUGUAAUUGUAUAUUCAGUAUAGUUAAAAUGAAUGUAGCUAAAAAUAUAGCAACCGUAAGUAUAACUGUUUGUAUGGUCAUGUGUGGAUACAAUUGUUGCAGUUAUAUAUAUUUUAUCUGCUUGAUAAAGUUUUUUUUUUUUUUUUGAGAGAAAUAGGUAGCACGCUACCCGCUUCGUUUAUUUCAUUUAGAAAUAAACUUAGCUGGAAAUGUGAAUCAACUAGGAUUUGAACUUGGAUCUCGAGUACCAACCACCAAGCCCUUUGCCACUUGCUCUAGAGACGGUCGGUCUUAAUAAUGUAAAAUUAAUAAUUAUAUUUGUGAGUU
rnacentral:lncRNA from 1 species